GGAUGCGAUCAUACCAGCACUAAAGCACCGGAUCCCAUCAGAACUCCGAAGUUAAGCGUGCUUGGGCGAGAGUAGUACUAGGAUGGGUAACCUCCUGGGAAGUCCUCGUGUUGCAUUCC
rnacentral:rRNA from 2 species